GGUACCUACGGAGGCAGCAGUGAGGAAUAUUGGUCAAUGGGCUUACGCCUGAACCAGCCAAGUCGCGUGAGGGAAGACUGCCCUAUGGGUUGUAAACCUCUUUUGUCAGGGAGCAACGCCGGCUACGUGUAGCGUUAUCGAGAGUACCUGAAGAAAAAGCAUCGGCUAACUCCGUGCCAGCAGCCGCGGUAAUACGGAGGAUGCGAGCGUUAUCCGGAUUUAUUGGGUUUAAAGGGUGCGUAGGCGGAAUGCCAAGUCAGCGGUAAAAUCGCGGGGCUCAACCUCGCUCCGCCGUUGAAACUGGC
rnacentral:rRNA from 1 species